AUCAACAAAUAUGUUACAAUUUUUAUUUCCCCAUCCUUAGUGUUUUCAUUUUGUUUAUUCAUAAAAACUAACGCAAUAUAUUUUUAUAAUAAUAAUAAUAAUAAUAUAAUAAUAAUAGAUAAUAAUUCAUAGUCAUUAUAUGUGACAUGUGACCACCAAUAAUAAUUAUACCGCGUUAAAUUAUACAUUGUCGUUCUCCUAAAUCCGCUCCGUACUAAUACGACAUGCGUCAUUGGAACAACGUGCGAUAAAUGCGUAAACGCAGCGCGUAAAUCGAUAUUCAACAAAUAAGAUUUAAGUAAAACAAUAGAAUACAUGCAUACUCGAUGCGAUAAAGUCGUGAAGAAAAAUUAAUUGCUCGACGCAUAUGUUCCUUUUUUUCCAACGAAAGCAGAAUUUCGCACAACGCAAAUACGUGCUAAGAUGUCGCGCUUAAAAUUUUGUAUUAUGUUCACGAAAUUUAUUCUGCGAGAACGAAUUUCAAUCUCGGAAUGAUCGACGAUCGCUGAAAAGUGCGCGCGCGCGCGUUGGUGUAUGUGGUUCACUUAUCUCGCCAGUCCGUGAUACCUGAAUCACAAUACCUACGCAUAUCGUUAUCUUUGUAAUUCGCGUGCGAAGGAAAUCUAAUCGUCCAUAUACAAUGGCUUAGUAUCGCUUAUUAUAUCAGUAUCGGCAUAUAAUCGCAAGGGCAAUUUUUAUCAUUCGUAAAAAAAUAGUUCACUGCGAGUGCAUCGAAUUUCAGCGUUUUUUCUCAGGCUAAUUGCAUGAAUCUGGUACGACCAAGUUCGAGUAAGAUGUACUCGAGAUGUAAUAUAAAUGAGCCCCCCCCCUGAAAAUUUUUUCCUGAAACGUGGUUUACUGCAACGGGGUGCUAAGAAUGCGAUUUCAGGCUGCAAGUGUCGAAAAUUACUUGGAGUACAUAGAGAAACGAUACGUAUCUCACAUUUCGAAGCGGAUCGACAUAAUCAGCCCGCACGAGCCGUAUCAAUCGUCGAGAGUUUAUUUUAAUUUUCAUAGUAUAAAACAAAUCAAUCGCUGUGUUCAUGCGUUAUGUGUUCCAUGUACGUAUGUACCUGCAUGUGUUGAAAUUGUUGCGUAUGUGUGUGGGAUGUAGUAAUAUCGACCGGACAUGAUGAUCGUCCGAUUCACACGGGCAAAUCGAGCGGAACGUGCUUUACGCUAGAAUAGACUUUUGCUGAAAAAGAAAAUACCGCUCACUCACAGCCGUUAUUGUCAGUUUGUCUGGACGUCUGCACUAAAUAUUCAGCACGUACUAUGUACGCGCAAUUAUAUAGAUUGAAGCUCGUAAACGCGAGGGAGAUUUGAGAAAAUUACCGAUUUACGUUCCGCGGAGGGUGUCUUUCCUUUUGUUUGACGAAAAGAAAAAUAUCGGGCAUACUUCGAACGCGAUACCGCGGUAUUCGAUAUUGAGAGGGUAAACUCGUUCCCUUUCAUAUCGAACGUAAUUAUGAAAGAAGGACCUAGUUUCCAACUUUUGCAUUUGUACAUUUUCUCGGUUAAAAUAGACCGCUAGAUCUAUAGCAGCGCAAGCGAUUACAUAAAAGAAACAAAAAGCUAAUUGUCAGAUUCAAAAGUUAUUUCUUGUUAAUUAUCACUUCACUACAUUGCAAAACUGCAGUUUUUAUUCUCUUUUAAUGCUAAAGUAGCUGCAUUUGAGAAAUAUAUACCUAUUUUGGAUCCGGGUCCUUCCUGCAUAAAUAUGUUUAAUUAAAAAUUCAGAUCGAUUCCACUGGUCCUUUCACGUUGAUGCCAAGUCAAAGAGGACUACAAUCUUUAUUCCAUCCGAUCGCGAAGUUCAUUACCGCUCUAGGGACGCACGAUCAGUUUGGGGAUGCAAUCGUCCGUUAUCUUAUAAUUUUAGAUUCGAGAAAGGCAUCCAAGCAGUUCUGUGAGAAAGCCACUCCGCCUUCGUCGAUUAUCGAUGGAACCAACCUCUGGCACGCUCUCUCUCGAGUCCCGCACACUACUCGCUAAUCGUGUCUAUCUGAUCUAUGAGCGAUGAUAAGAGGACAAGAGACAUUCUUGCUGUCCAGAUUACUUGGAUAUCACUUGAAUAUUCGGUGAGCUUUUCUUCUUUCCCGCUUUUACUAAAUCUGGGCUAAAACUAAUUGGACCUCGUCGUUUGUUGCGACUACGAAGGAUCAAAGUGUCAAGACAGUCAAAGAGAUAGGUACGUACGAGAUAGGCGCGACGUUCGCGCCGAGAGUUCUCGAUAGACGCACGAUAAAUAUUAUUAUAUUGGUUACGCGAUAUAGGGAGAAGCAGAGAUAAUAAACCACGCGGAAUUUUUCACUUGGACAAGAGCUAUCUUACAAUAGAUAAAACGCGUCCUCGCGAGGAAUGCGAGGACGACGCGAGGCACGUCGCGGCGACCCGCGCGAUUCCGUCGCCCUUUACUUAUUUCCUCUCUGAGUUUAUACUGACAAUGAGAAUCAUACUCAUACGCCUGACUUUCUCUCUAUACGUAGGUACAUACGAUGCACUUAUGCAUCCCCGUAAGACUAAUCGAAGAGAGUGAGAAUCUCUCUCAUUCAUUUUUGACCAUUCGCCAAUUAUUCUCAACACAAAUUUCGGAGGGGAAACAAUGUUCGGAACUCAGAGGAUCGUAUCAUUGUCGCCCGACGCGUUUCGAUCACGACGGAACUCGCGAAACUCAGCGGGAUGGCCGCGCGGGAUGCACGCCUCCAAAGAAUAUAGUGCACAUUUAACAAAAAACAAAACAAAAAAAAAACCGCUAACGAGGAAACGUGCGUGAAUAAUAAAUUAAUCGAUCGCAUGCGCGCAAAUUACAUUGUUUUAUAAAUCGUAUAAAAAUUUUCUAUGUUCAACCUAGUCUUAUAAUGCCUUAAGAGUAUGGUACGGGAAUUUGUUGUAUAAUGCCUGCAGAUAUGCGCGUCUCUCUUUCGCGCGAGACAAUUUUGCUACGAUCUGUGCGCGCGAGCUCCAAGCUGUCGAAAAAGCGUGCGUUUGUUUGUUUGGUUUUUUUUCUUAAUUAAUUAUCGGUGUCGAUUCAGUUUGACGAUUAAUUAGUUUAUUUGGUCAUCCAGCGGAAAGAGACCAAAGUGCGAACACGACGAGCGUGAAGAGAAGGAUCCGCAAUUCAAUUACAAUCGUCUCGCGAGCUGAAUAAAUCGGCAUUUUUCCAUAGCAGUGACAC
rnacentral:lncRNA from 1 species